GGUCUCCCCACCUUUUAUUUCAAGGAUUUCCGGAGAUACACAGGUCAAUAUUUUCCUGCUUUGUCUUUGGUCUUCUGCUCUGAAGCACUCCUUGAGAAACUCAGUCUGAUGGACAAUUUGGAACUUGUGAGAGUGUUCUCUUCCAGGAGAGGAAAAAGAGAAGGAAGGGUGUGCAAAGCCCAUGGACUCAGUUUCCAAAGAAGGUGCCAGGUGUUUGUUCACUUUCCAACCCCUGAGAACCAAGCUUCGAACCUAAUCCACUGAGCCCUUUGCUAACUCAACCCUGCUGGAUUUAUCCUGCCUUACUUAGCACAUGCUAUCUGGAUACUUUGACUGCUUCAGAUGAUUAUGGCUGUAAUUCUUUGUGAGGCUUUGCUGCACCAUAACAAAGAAUAAUAAAACCCUAAAUACAGAACGAAAAAAAAAACUUUAACAAAAAAAAAGAAGGAAAAAAGAAAGGAAGCAAACCCCACACCCCUCAUCUGUGAAUAAAAGCUUUUAUAAGCAGCAGUAACAUUGCUUGCUGCCUGAGUGUUCCUUCUGACAGUGUAACACUGGAAAAAUAAGUAUUCCCAUUGCCCCUUUGCAAGGAAAGGUCUAGCUGAGGCACAGAGAAGAACAGUUUAAACAUUUCUUGGUUUCCCUUUUAUUUGUGGGUACCUGGGAUUGAGGCUCUUGUAGCUGCAAAGUAGGGCACUGCAACCCACAGAUGCAAUUUUCACAGAGAGAGACCCAGGAAAAACACUCUUAAUAGACAUCCAAAGAAAAGGGAUAGCUAAAGGUCCCUUAAGGAAACACAGAGACACAUUAUGACUGAAUUCUGAUAAAGGUGUGAGUCAGUCAAACUCCUACUUCUGCACAAGAAAAGAAGGAAAAUCACUAUAAGGUUCCCAUGCCUGCUGCUUUGCAUGAACAGGAAUCUUUAUAACUUAUAUAAAUACACUGGUUGACUUUUAAUAUGCCUAUGAUAUUCAUAGUACAGUGUGGCAGAAAUCACAGAUUGACUUUACCAAGUUUUGUAGUUUAGAAUAAGGGUUCAUGCCAUGAUUCAAUUCUAAUUCUCAUUCCAUAAUGGUGGCAUAUAUACAACAUAUUUCUCAACAUCCUGGCUUGAGAAAGAGGAGAAGAAAAUAUUAUGUAUUCUAUUUUUAAACUUUUGGACACAACAGGGUGUUAAGAAGAUCAAAGGGAUGGAACCCCUCUGCUCUUGAGUCAGGUUGUUCAGCCUGGAGAAGAGAAGGCUCCAGGGAGACCUUAGAGAACAUUCCAGUACCUACAGGAGGCCUACAAGAAAGCUGGGGAGGGUCUUUUUGCAAGGGUAUGUAGUGAUACAACAUGGGAAAAUGGCUUUGAGCUGAAAGAUGGUAGAUUUAGGCUAGAUAUUAGGAAGAAAUUCUUCCCUGUGAGGGUGGUGAGGCCCUGGAACAGGUUGCACAGAGAAAUUGUAUCUGCGUCGUACCUGGAAGUGUCCAAGGCCAGGAUGGAUGGAGCUUGGAGCAAGAUGAACUUCAAGGUCCCUUCCAAGCCAGCCCAUUUUCUGAUUCCUUGAUUCUGUGUGUGGUCUAGAAUGUAUUUGAGGGUUUUGGUGUUCACUUUGGGCUGUCUGGUGACCCCAUUGCCUCUCCCUUUCCUGCAUAUUGCUUAGAUAGAUUAAUGUAUUACAGUGACUCCCUCAGCUCCUGUAGAUAUAAACAGCUCCUGAACUAAUCCUUCCAUCCAUUUCUUACUUCCCAGGCCCUAUUUAUCCACCAGCCAAUAACACAGAAAGGGGUUGGGUACCAUCCUGUCAAUCCUGUGAAUAUCCUGACUCUCCCAAGUGCUCCCAGCCCUGUUUUUGGUCCUGGUUAAGCAGCACCCACCCAGACACUGUCUGCACGCUGCUCAGGGGUUCACACAACACAGGAGCCAUUUCCAGGCAGCAGGUGGGAUGCAGCCACUCUGUUUUCAGGAGGAAGAGUGUCUAAGCAUAUGGGUACAAGCUGUCUCCUCCCAGCUGGUCCUGCAGACAGAGAAGGAGCCCUGGCCCUUUUUGUUUAGCCAUGUACAGAAGGAGAGAACUCUCGCAGCAGACAAUAACUUGGGGAGCAGAUGUGGUUUCUUAACGUUUAACUCAUUGUCACAGUUUCUAAUUAGGUGUUUACAGUUGCUGUUAUGAAUGCUUAUAGUUCACUGUAUCCCUGUUGUAAAACAAAAGUAAAUGUCUCAUUUUACACAGAAAAUAUUCAGAGGGGCAUUUUCAGGUGCUUCAUUAUCUGUGGUUAUGUUUCUGUGGCUAUGCAUCACCGCCCUCUUAAAUGUAUAUAUUUUUCACAAUCAUGUUAGUCCUUAAACUCUUUGUAUCUUUUUUAUUGUGCUUACACGUAUCAAAAUGGAAUGAUUGCCUAUCUUUCAACCUUUUCCAGGAAACUAUUUAUUUUCUUUGUUUUCACACUUUCCUGCUGUCCUCCCACCCUUGUAUAAAUCUUCCUGUGCAACAAAAUAGUUGACAUAAGUAUAACUGGUAUACAUAAUUGAUGUGUUCGCUGUUUAAUAAAUAAAGUGUCUGUCAUACAGGGGGCAAGUUUUCUGGUUUUUAUAUUGU